AAAAAAAAUGGGCUGGACAGGGCUCUGGCUGCUGCUGAGACUCAUCUGGUUUAUCAAGAUGCCAAUGGUGGCACCUGGAGCACUGAAGGUAACACCUUGAAGGCCUCUGGGAGUGAUUGUGCCAUUUCAUCCAUGCUGCAAAUCUCUGGAGGUGAAACUAAACUAUAUCACAUCAAUGCAUGGCCCUUAGUGCCUCAAAUUUAAAAGCAGCAAAUCAAGUGAAGACAGCAACAAAGAAAAGGCAGCAUACAUAACAGUUAAUUUGACUGAGUCCUCCAGGAACAAGGCAAUAUUAGAACAGCUUGCUGCUCCUCCACUGAGAUGCAGAGUCCUUCUUGCUGUCUGUCCUGCAGUGAGGGUACCUGUGGGUAACAGCAACUGAGAGCAGGAGAAACAGCAACUGUCCUAAAAGAAUUAUGGGCAUACUUGAAUUAUAUCAUUCUUGCAAUGCUCAGUUCACAUUUACAAAAACAUCUGAUUGUUUAAAAUCAAUGUAAUUCAUCCCAUUCUACAAUGCAAUAUAAAAUAUUAUCCAUAUGUAUUUUGGGAAAAUGAUGAAUAAAAUCUACUCUACAUGGUAGAUGAACAAUGGUUUCUUGCAGUAACAGACAAUUUUCUGAUUUUUAAGUAUUGAGCUUAUAAAACUCAGGUUUCAGGUUUUUGUGUAUAAAAUGUAACUCUAGAUGAUUAAAGAAGGAGGGUUCUAGCUAAAUUUAAUCAAAACUUCUUUGAAUAUGACUUUUUGUUUAAAAAGAACAGCUUGUCAUUGAUGUGCUGAUUUGAAAACGGUGAGUUUUCAAAGUGUUCCAAGCAAAAUCUGAAGAGGGUGGUGAAUAGAACAAUGUUGCUUGUCUGGUUAUAUCUGUGUUCAAGUUGAUUGCAUUGUAAGGUCACAUAGUA